UCAGACGAUGCGUCAUGCAUAUCAAUAAGCGGAGGAAAAGAAACUAACAAGGAUUCCCCUAGUAACGGCGAGUGAAGCGGGAAGAGCUCAAAUUUGAAAUCUUAAAGGGUUUCCCUUUACGAAUUGUAGUUUAAAGAAGUGUUUUCUGUUGAGGUUUUGGUAAAAGUUCUUUGGAAUAGGACAUCAUAGAGGGUGAGAAUCCCGUAUUUGACCUUUACUUUCAACUUUGUGAUACACUUUCAAAGGAGUCGGAUUGUUUGGGAAUGCAGUCCAAAAUGGGUGGUAAAUUUCAUCUAAAGCUAAAUAUUGGCGAGAGACCGAUAGCGAACAAGUACCGUGAGGGAAAGAUGAAAAGAACUUUGAAAAGAGAGUUAAACAGUACGUGAAAUUGUCAAAAGGGAAGCGUUUGACACCAGUGUUGUUUUUCUGAAAAUCAAUUAAAGAACUGUUUAUGCUAAGCUGUUUAGACUUUAUCAGCUAUCUGUUUAGUUUUGAGCUUUUCUUUAAUGCACUUUUCAGUUAACAAGUCAACAUCAAUUUCUUUUGCUGUAAAAAAGCUUGAGGAAGGUGGCUUGAGAUUCGUCUUAAGUGUUUAUAGCCUCUUGCCUAUGCAGUCGGAGAGAUUGAGGUCUGCAGCGUAGAUCCUUCGGGGCUAAAUGCAUUUGUGCUAAGUUAUAGCAUUUUAUAGACAACUUGUUGACUAUGAUUUGUCUUGUAGCUUACUCGCUUAUGUUAUUUUACCUACGCUUAGGAUGUUGACACACGCGCGUGCUCG
rnacentral:rRNA from 1 species